rnacentral:rRNA from 1 species
UACGAAGGGUGCAAGCGUUACUCGGAAUUACUGGGCGUAAAGCGUGCGUAGGUGGUUCGUUAAGUCCGAUGUGAAAGCCCUGGGCUCAACCUGGGAAUGGCAUUGGAUACUGGCGGGCUAGAGUGCGGUAGAGGGUAGUGGAAUUCCCGGUGUAGCAGUGAAAUGCGUAGAGAUCGGGAGGAACAUCCGUGGCGAAGGCGACUACCUGGACCAGCACUGACACUGAGGCACGAAAGCGUGGGGAGCAAACAGGAUUAGAUACCCUGGUAGUCCACGCCCUAAACGAUGCGAACUGGAUGUUGGGCUCAACUUGGAGCUCAGUAUCGAAGCUAACGCGUUAAGUUCGCCGCCUGGGGAGUACGGUCGCAAGACUGAA